GUAAACCAAUCGCAGCUAAUUCCGUGGAUAGAAUAUGAUGGUUAACAUUAUUAAAGGCUCCAACUACAUCGAAGAAAACUCCAGCGAGAGCUUGCUUUGAUUGUAUAGCAUUAUAAAUAUCAAGAUGUAAGUGAGCAAUGCUCUCCCUUGAAGACCUGCCUCUUCUAAAACCAAACUGAUUAGAAGGAAAGUGGUAGCUGCCUAAGGGAUCGUCAUGUACUGACCAGUCACACUCUAGAGCCAAUGAAGGGCAUGCAGGGGAUAUGGCAAUG
rnacentral:misc_RNA from 1 species